AGACGAUUGAAAUAUCAACAUGCCCAAAAGCUAGUGUUUGGGAAGAUUGAACAAGCCACAGCUCUUCUGUUGCUGACUGAAGAUAUUGGAGUCAGGCAAACGAGGUACCAAGAAGAGAAACGGUGAGCCCACAGUCACAGAGCUAGUGAGCUGUGGAAGGCGAAUUUCCACCUAGCACCACGGAUGCAGAGCCCACGCUCCAGGCUGCGAUGCUGUGCUGUGUUGGUGUCCAAGACAAGGAGCAUCAUCUCUGUUUCAAAACGUGGAAAAGAGUUAUGAGCAUCAGAAUCAAUGCUCCCUUCCCCAUAGUCCACCAUUCCAUCAUGAUGCCUUUUACGGGUCUUGCCUCAAUGCUGAUGGCUGCUGGCUGAUCGAGAGAAGUCUGCUGAAGAUUGAAGUCGCUGUGGCAGUUUCUUAAAACAAGACAACAGUAAAGUUUUCUGGCUCAAUGGACUCUCCCUGUAAUAAAAGAUUUCUCUGCAGCAUGAGACGGUGCUUCAUAGCAUUUCACCCACAGUAGAGGCUCUUUCAAAAUUGGGGUGAAGCCUGUCAAGGCCUGGGGUUGCUUUAUGAACUAGGUUUAUAGAAUAUCCAAAAUUCUUUGCUGUCAUUUCAACAAUGUGCACAGUGCCUUCACCAGGAGCAGGUCUCCCAUCAAGAAGUCAGUUACUUUGCUCAUACAUAAGAAGCAUUCAAGUUUUCUCACGAGAGAGCAGCAAUCUAGUUCCAUCCUUAGGCUCCACUUCUGAUUCCAAGUCUCUUGCUGCUUCCACCACAUCUGCAGUUACUUCCUCCAGUGAAGUCCUGAACCCCUCAAAGUCUCCCACAAGGGUUGUAAUCAACUUCUUCCAAACACCUGUUAACGUUGAUAUUUUGCUCUUCCCCCAUAAAUCAGAAUUUUCUUAAGUUCUCAUCCAGAAUGGUGAAUCCUUUCCAGAAGGUUUUGCGUUUACUUUCCUUGGACCCAUCGGAGGAAUCACUGUCUAGAGCAGCUAUUGCCUUAUAAAAUGUAUUUCUAAAAUAAUCAGACGUAAAAGUUGAAAUUACUCCUUAAUCCUUGAUCAAUAUCCAAAAGAAUGGAUAUUGCAAGAAGACAGUGUUAAGCUCUUGGGUGACCAAAUGUGCUUUCGAUGAGCAGUAAUAUUUUUAAAAGAAACUUGUUAUUUUCCUGA